AACGAACGCUGGCAGCGUGCCUAACACAUGCAAGUCGAGCGCGAAUAGGGGCAACCCUUAGUAGAGCGGCGCACGGGUGCGUAACACGUGGAUAAUCUGCCUGAGUGCUCGGGAUAACCAGUCGAAAGAUCGGCUAAUACCGGAUAAGCCCACGGUUUCUUCGGAGACUGAGGGAAAAGGUGGCCUCUGUAUACAAGCUAGCACAUUCAGAUGAGUCCGCGGCCCAUCAGCUAGUUGGCGGGGUAAUGGCCCACCAAGGCGACGACGGGUAGCUGGUCUGAGAGGACGAUCAGCCACACUGGAACUGAGACACGGUCCAGACUCCUACGGGAGGCAGCAGUGGGGAAUUUUGCGCAAUGGGCGAAAGCCUGACGCAGCAACGCCGCGUGUGUGAUGAAGGUCUUUGGAUUGUAAAGCACUUUCGACCGGGAAGAAAACCCGUUGGCUAACAUCCAACGGCUUGACGGUACCGGGGGAAGAAGCACCGGCUAACUCUGUGCCAGCAGCCGCAGUAAUAC
rnacentral:rRNA from 1 species